CGGGGGGCUGCAGCAGUGGGGAAUAUUGCACAAUGGAGGAAACUCUGAUACAGCAACGCCGCGUGGAGGAUGACACUUUUCGGAGCGUAAACUCCUUUUAUAUAGGAAGAAGAUGACGGUACUAUAUGAAUAAGCGCCGGCUAACUCCGUGCCAGCAGCCGCGGUAAUACGGAGGGCGCAGGCGUUACUCGGAAUCACUGGGCGUAAAGAGCGUGUAGGCGGAUUAAAAAGUCAGAAGUGAAAUCCUAUAGCUUAACUAUAGAACUGCUUCUGAAACUCUUAAUCUAGAAUAUGGGAGAGGUAGAUGGAAUUUCUGGUGUAGGGGUAAAAUCCGUAGAGAUCAGAAGGAAUACCGAUUGCGAAGGCGAUCUACUAGAACAUUAUUGACGCUGAGACGCGAAAGCGUGGGGAGCAAACAGGAUUAGAUACCCUGGUAGUC
rnacentral:rRNA from 1 species